AACGAACGCUGGCGGCAGGCCUAACACAUGCAAGUCAAGCGCGCCCUUCGGGGUGAGCGGCGGACGGGUGAGUAACGCGUGGGAACGUGCCCUUUUCUACGGAAUAGCCUCGGGAAACUGAGAGUAAUACCGUAUACGCCCUUUGGGGGAAAGAUUUAUCGGAAAAGGAUCGGCCCGCGUUGGAUUAGGUAGUUGGUGGGGUAAUGGCCUACCAAGCCGACGAUCCAUAGCUGGUUUGAGAGGAUGAUCAGCCACACUGGGACUGAGACACGGCCCAGACUCCUACGGGAGGCAGCAGUGGGGAAUCUUAGACAAUGGGGGCAACCCUGAUCUAGCCAUGCCGCGUGAGUGAUGAAGGCCUUAGGGUUGUAAAGCUCUUUCAGCUGGGAAGAUAAUGACGGUACCAGCAGAAGAAGCCCCGGCUAACUCCGUG
rnacentral:rRNA from 1 species